rnacentral:pre_miRNA from 1 species
ACUCUCGUAUUCACCUUAAUCCAUGUGUAUUGAGGUGGAUUAUAUUGGAACUUAAACUAAUUUACACCUCAAUCCACUUCAAUACAUGUGAUUGAGGUGAAUACGAGA